UUUCAGCAGCUUUUCAUCACACUGUCCUGCCACCCUCUGCUUUCUGUGAAAGGAGCUGCUGUGAGGAAGCCGAUCCUCCAGUAGCCAGUGCGGCAUGGAAAAGGGGCUCACAUGACUACAGAAAAACAGAGAGAGCAUUGGCUCUAGAGGGUGCAAGGAGAGGCUCAGUUUGAGACUCAAAGUUUGGGAGAGCAAGAAGGACAGCGGCAGAAGUGGGACCUCUGGGAUGAUACAGCUGGUCGUACUCCCAGGACGGGAGAAUAAAGCUGAUGGUGAAAGGGAACCCAGCCCCAGCGUGGGUUUACAACAACAAGCCAGAUGUCUUAAGCCUUAGACAGCAUGGGCUUUCUCCUUUGAAUACAGCAAACACCAGAUUCCAAAGGAAGGUCGGAUCUCCAACAAGUGGUGCCUCUGAAUUCCAGAAUGGCAUUCAGGCCUGUGAAUUUUGCUGUGAUCCACAGAACCAAUUUUAUCUUCCAUGGGCAGGA
rnacentral:lncRNA from 1 species